AGAUGAAUCUAGAAGUCACAACAGUGGUUCCUUCUGUGGGUGGAGGAGUUCCACUGCUCGGGAAGGGGCAUGCGGAAGCCUUUGGUCUGCUGCAAAGGUUCUAUCUUGUCCUGGGUGGUGGUGAUACGGAUUUAUACACAUAUAUUCGACAACAGUACCCAUGUUUCUGGGCCUUGUUUUUUCACUUAACAGUAGAUCUUGGAGAUGGUCCACAUCAGUGCAUAAGGAAUGCCCUUCCUUUUUUAAAAAAGUAGUCCCUUGUGGAAACGACCAGGAUUUAAUGACCCGGUUCUUACUGAUGGCCAUUGAGGGGUUCCAAGUUGUCUUUCCUAUAAACAACACCACAGUGAACAUCUUUGUGCAGCUGUCUUUGUGUGCGGGAGAGCCGGCUUGCGGGGAAUUCCCAGGAAUCUGAGGACGGAUCAACAGGAAGUGCUGAGCAGAGAAAAUCGAACCAAAGGGGCCUGUGGUCCUGUUCCAGAACUCUGUGCCCAGUGGUGUAGCAGCUCGGAUGCAUCUAUUUGUUCCCAGUGUAGGAUCUGUCGUGUCAACAGACUGCAGUGAUCUUCCAGCUCCUGUGCAUGCGCCAUCUUCCAUGCCUGGAACAGUGAAGACAUUGAAUUAAAUCUUAGAACAAGAAGUCGGGAUAUGGGGCUGUUCUGGGAUCCACUAUCUGGGUUCUAGACUGCGCCUGGAUGUGCCUGGAUGUGCCGAACCUUCUCUGGCUUGUUCUCUUGGUGGUGAGCACUGUCUUCCCAGGCCUCCAGAUGCCAGCUCUCUGGUUCUCCUCUUCCUCCCUGCCUGGUCCUCCUUGGGCCUCACAAAUGGCCCUUGAGGUGAGGUGGAGCCCUCUCCUGCCUUCACCUGCCCAUGCCUGGUGAGCCAGCCGCAUGGGGUCCCUUGUUCCUGGACUGCCUGAGCCCGGCUUCUUCCUCCUCCAGAGACAUGGGUGUCAGUUAACCAGCCAUGCCCCACUUCGCUCCCCGGCUCAGAGAAUGGCGCUGCCACCCACCCAGCAGGUCUCGGACCCUGGAGCUGUUUUCCACUCUACCCUCUCCAACGCCAUCAGCCUUACCUUCCAACCGUGUCAGAAUCUGACCUGCCUCCCCUCCUCUGCCGCCAUCCUUAUCCCUCCCUGCGUCCGCCCUCACCACCUCCUGAGGGGUCGUGCUGGAGCCUCAGUCAUUUAACACUGCUGCCCUGCUCAGAGCCCUCCUGUGGCUCCCACCUGCCUCCAGGAAAGCCAAGUCCUCCCCAUCUCAGGGGACCCUGCAGGAUGGGCCCCUCUCCUCCUCGCCCCUCUACCCUCCCUUCUGGCCGUGCUGCCAUUCACUCCUUAAACAACACCCCACGAUUUCCCCCCACACUUUCCCCACCUUUGCUCUUGUUGUUCCCUCUGCUUGGAACACUGUUCUUCUGGAUCUUUCCAUGACCUGCCCCCUCUCCUCACUUGGGCCUGUGCUCUGCAGAGAGGCCUCCCAGACCAGCCCCUACUGCAGCCCUCCCCUCAUUCUCCAUCCUGGCCCUCAUUCAUUUUUCUGCUGCGCACUUGUCAUCCUCUAUUUAUGUGUUCAUUUGCUCAGUGUCGUGUGCCCACCCUGAAGGUGAGCUCUAGCAAGGAGCUAGAGUCUUAUUCAGCACAGGGCCUGGCACACAGGUGGUGCACAAAACACUGUGCUUGGCGACAGUCUUGGCAAGACAACCUCCCAGAGAUGGCCGUGGAGACUAUGUCUGGGUCUGGAGGUAAGUCCUGGCUGGGGGUCCAAGGUGCUGUCCGGACCUCAGGGCAGGGGAGGGUCCCAGGCAGUGGGGAGAGGAUCUCUGAACCUCCACCUUGUCCAGAACAGAGGGCAACAGGGCCUUCAGGAGCCCGGAGGUGAUACUGGGCAGGAAUGGACUGUAGGAAUUUUUAGGCCACCUUCAGUGCUUCCUGUGGGGACAUCUUGUCUGAUGGUUUAAUUUUUUUCUUUUUUUCUGAGCGGUGGUACCCAUUGUUCAACAGAAGAUCCCAGUGCAGCGGCCCACGUCUCCCAAGUGCAGGCUCUAAAGCUGGCUUGUAAGGUGGAAAUCGACCACGGCCAAGUUCCCCUUGGGGAUUCCACAGGAAGGACACAGCCCUCCCCAACCGAGGCGGAUGUACGGUUUCCAUAAAUUCAGCCCACCAAUCCCUCCUGCGUUGGGUCCCGCCCAGGGAAGGCCUGGCUUGUGUUCUGGGGGCCACGGUGUGGAAACAGGAUUGCAUCUGAGCAGACUCAGACUGUGGGGGAACCGCUAACCCAUACCUCCCCCUCCUGGCAUAUCCACCAUCAAUCGGCUCUUUUCUCUCUGAGGCUGUCUUUUUAUUUUUUCCUGAGCAUGUAUAACUGAAUUCCUGUCAAAGUACCUAAGUUGUGACUGCCCUGAGUAUAACAUAAUUAAGGGGGGGCUGCUAUUCUAGUUGAUAUCGGGGAUGGGGCUUCCUGGCCUUGACCUCUUCUCCAGGGUGACCCCAAGACCCAUCCUUAGAAUACCAGGCUCAGGGGAACUCAGCCCAUGAUCGAGGUCCAUGUCUCUGGUUUCCAUCCAGGAAAAUAAGGCUGUGAGAGGAGAGGGAGGUCGUGCUUUGGGGACAAGGAGCAGGGUGGCUGAAGCAGCCAUCCUGGGGGAGGGGGUCUGGGCAGCUGGGGGUGGCACAGGGCCCAAGGCCAGAGCAGGAUGUGAGAGGGGGCGUCUGGGGGCAUGAUGUGUCCAUUGCGCUAUUCAUUCUGUGUUUAUCAUUCAUUCAUUCAGCAAAUGUGAAUGAAGCACCUACUCUGUGCCAUGUGCUGGGGAGGUGAUGAUCCCUGCCGACAAGCUGCUCAUAGUCCACUAUGGGGAAUGGAUUUUAGCCAAUUCACUCUCAGAAAUGGCAAUUUGUGACUGAGAAGUACAAAAUGACAAGGGCCUACAAUGGGCAGGAGGGCUGAUGUGAUUGGGGAGGUCAGAAAGACUUCCUAGAAGCUGCCGAGCUGAGAACUGAAGGGUGAUAGAGGCCAAGUAGAUGAGAAAGGAAGGAACAAAUGUUCCAGCAACUGGGCACAGCAAGUGCAAAGGCCCUAUGAUGGGACAGAACAGAGGAGUAGGUGAAUCUAAAAGACCCUGGAGCUGGAGCUGUGAGGUGAGGGGUGAGUGGGGAGUAGGGAAGGCUGAGGGCUGGGCUGGACAGGCUCCACAGAGGGAGAGCAGCCUGGUCUUAUGCUGAGAGCAAUGGAGAGCCUUGGGAAAGUCUGAGCAGGGAGAUGGGGUCACAAGGCACCUCUGCCUGCCUCUGCCUUCUCACCUGACUACCUGGCAUGCCCUGGCUCAGCAUCUUUCAUGAAUGGUCUCUUUGAAUCUCCACCACUUCUGAAGACCAGCUUUUGAAGGUGCCAGGAGUUGAGCCCACUUGUCAGAUGAGGAAACUGAGUCUCUGAAUCUUCUCACGGCCCCACCCACUUCCUCCUGCCCAGAGAAAAGAGGAACGGGGGACCAACGCCCCAUAAUCAGCUGGGAAGAGGCUGGGUUGGGAAUGGGGAGGGUGAGGCCCUCAGAGGCCGGUGCCUGGGAUGGGCAGGGGCCCUGCUUCCGUUGAACCACAGCCCUGUGGCAUGCCCCAAAAGGGAAGUAGAGGCUGCCUGUCCUCAUCCCCUGAACCCCAGGGAGGGGGCUAGGGAUGCCCUGGGGAGGCAUGACAGACUGGGAUCUUGAAGAACUUUCUGGUCAGCUGAACCCAGCUGGGUGACCUUGUGAUCGAGCCUCAUUAGCUGGGCUUCCUCCUCCUCUUCCUUCCAACUAGAGGAUCAGAACCUCUCUCUUGCCUGUUCUCAGGAUUAGCACAUGGUGGGCCUCACUGAAUGGCUGGCCGAAGGUUGUUGGUUGAAUGCGCUAAAGGUGUUUUUCUUCCUGAAGGGAGUAGCCAAUUAGAUAAAGAACCCAUGUAUUUGACCUUCAACAAAUAUUUAUUGAGCACCCACUGUGUGCCAGGCCUUGUCCCGGUGUUGUGGAGACAGCAAUGAACAAACCAGACAUACAUGCCUGCAGACGCCCCACCAUCCUGCCUGCCCUGCGGCAGACAUCACGAAUCGAUCAUCUUUCCCACUGAUAUCAGAAUUCUCGCCAGCAGCGUGCGCAGGCUGGGACCUGGCACCCGAGGGGGACCGACCUGUCAUUCCCGGGGAAGGACUGCAAAUAUGGCCUCGGAAGAUUCCAGUGAGAACCCCCUACAUGACUGAAGCCGUUUCCUCUCAGUCUCUUUCAACAAACAUCUAUUGAGCACCUACUGUGUGCCAGGUGCUAGGGACAUAGCGGUGACCAGGGUGGACAUGAUGCUUGCCCUUGUGGGGCUGGCAUUCCGGUGAGAGAGAGAGAGAGACAAACGUACAACUCCAGCGCCCAGCACGGUGCCCAGAAUGUAAUCCAUGCUCAACAAACAUUUGCUGAAUGACCGAACAAACAACUCUACGAGUUCUUGGCAGAUAAGGACACAGCGGUCCCUCGGGUCGUCAACAAACACCUGUGGGGGCCCACUGUGGCUGAGACGAACGGAGCAACUUCUGGGUGACUUAGCUCUGGUCACAGCACCUAGGAGUUACGCAAAAGAUAUUGGUCAUGUGAACGAAAAGAAGGGAUAAAUGAAUAAACAAGCAAGUCCAUGUAAGAGAAUGAUCAUGGCCAGCGCUGUUUGAGUGCUUACCGUGUGCAGCCCCGUCGUGGGUCUCCUGUGUGAGGGUUUCACGGAACAGGCGUCCUCGGAGGGAGGGACGGUGGUCAUCCCGCCUCCCACAAUGAGGAGACCACAGUGCAGAGAGGGGCUGUCGGCGCUCAAGGCCUCGUGGCAAGGAAGCGACAGGGCUGGCCCUGGAGCCCAGGCCUCCCAGGUCUCGGGCUGCCCCCGCUGCCUCGGCAUUUUGUGCGCUCUGCCACGUAUCAUCCCACCCACCCCAUGAAGUCGCGGGGAGCAUGAUCUCCUUUUACAGUCGCGAAAACCGAGGCCCGGAGAGGCGAAGUCACGUGCCCAACGUCACACGACAGCCCAUGGAACAUUCGGUUCCUGGUCAUUUCACCAUGAUCCUUCCUGUGAGCCUUCCAUGAUGCAGCCCGGAACCUGAGUCAUCCCAACAUUGAACCUCCCUUGACCUUGGUCUUGUAAGCCCCUGGCCUGGUUCACAGAUGAAAACAGAAAUACUGACGAUGGUGUUGGUGAUGGUGGCUACCGAACCUAAUGGCGUCCUGAGCGCUUAGGUGUACUAACAGUCAAGAUGGAUAUUUCCGUAGCAGAGUCUGUGUCAGCCAGCGCUUUGUACCGGACCCGUGGAAGUCAGUGUGCAGGGAAGGGCCCUGCCGCCCAGAGCCCACGGACCCCUGAGGACAGUCAGUCAGUUGAAGGCCUGACACGUGAAACCGAGACCGCUCAUACCUGUGAGAUCAGAACUGGUGAGACUCUGAGCUGGGAACACUGUGGCGUUUCUAGGCUUUUUAAUGUAAUUCUUUCAAGAAAGAGACCUUCCCCCAAGGCCUCCCCUGCAAAGGUAACGGUAGGUGUUGGGUGUGGGGAGAAGGGCCAGAAGACUUCGAGGGAGCUUGCGAUGUCGCAGGAGACACAGGGCUGUGGGGUCACACCUCUGACCCCAGAUCCCAGCCUUGGUCCCCACCAGCAUGUGACCUAGGGCAGUCAUGUCCCCUGUCCUCUGGGAGCCUAUCUCCGCAUCCGGAAAUAGGGACAAUGAAUCCUUCCAGGGCCAUCACGAGGAUACAACCCGUCUGGGUGGAAUACCAUGACCUGCACUCACAGCUAAUCUCCUGGUUGGCGUGAGGGAAGAUGACUCCAGAAAGGCUGAACGAUGACAGUUCAUCAUCUUUGCAAACCUCAGCUGGGCUCAAAGAGUGUUCCAGACCUCACUGGCAGAGACGCCCAAGGCCCUCUCAAUAAGGCAGGCAGCUGGAGGAGGACUACAGUGGCCUGGGGGUGGCGGUGACCCAGCUCCCUCUGCGAAUGGGCCCCCCUUGCACCAGGAGCUAUUGCCCUCAAGAGAAGCCAGAAAUCCAGAUCUUUACAUCAGCUUUACCAAUUUUUCUUAAAGACUUAUUUAUUUAUUUAUUUAUUUGAGAGAGAGAGAGAGAGAGAGCAAGGCAGGGGGAAGGGCAGAGUGAGAGGGAGAGAAGCAGACUCCCUGCUAAGUGUGGAGCCCCAUGUGGGGCUCGAACUCAUGACCCUGAGAUCAUGACCUGAGCUGAACCAAGAGUUGGUCCCUUAACCGACUGCGCCCCCCCAAGCGCCCCUCAGCUCUCCCAGUUUUUAAAUGUUUCUGGCUAAUUGAGAAAAAGCACCGGCCUAUCACCCCACACCUUCUAGAAUGGCUAUAAUCAAAAAGAUGAACAGCAGCAAGUGUUGGCAAGCCUGUGGACUGACUGGAAGGCACACACACUGCUGGUGGCAACCGCUUUGGAAAAAACAGUCCAGCCCUUUUCCGGAAGGUUCCACACAGUUACCACAUGACCCAGAAUGCCACUUGCAGGCGUGUACCCAGAUUUGAACGCCUACGUCUGAACAAACAUGUGCACAUGGAUGUUCUUGGCAGCACUAGUCAAAACAGCCCAACGGCAAAAACAACCCAAGUGCCCAUCAACCGAUGGAGGCUGAAACGUGCGUCUCGCUGUGUGACGGAAUACUACGUAGCAACAAAAAGGAGUAAAGCACUGAUUCAGGCCACAGUGUGGCUGAGCCUUGAAAGCAUUCUGUUAAGUGAAAGCAGGCAGACAAAAAUGGCCGGAUAACAUAUGCUUCCAUGUAUAUGAAAUGUUCAGAAGAGGCAAAUCUAUAGAAACAGAAAGUGGAUCAGUAGUCACCAGGGGUAGGAGUGAGGGGAAAUGGGAAGUGACUGUAAAUGGACCCGGGGUAUUUUGGGGAGGGAAAUGGAUUGUGGUAAUGGUUGCACCACUCUGUGAAGAUAUUAAAAAAAACCAUUGACUUGUACACUUUAAAGGGGUGAAUUGUGUGGUAUGUGAAUUAUAUCCCCAUAAAGCUGUUAAAAUAAGAAUGUGUUGGGGCGCCUGGCGGGCUCGGUCAGUAGAGCAUGUGACUCUUGAU